UUUGCCUACGGGAGGCAGCAGUAGGGAAUCUUCCACAAUGGGCGAAAGCCUGAUGGAGCAACGCCGCGUGGGUGAAGAAGGUCUUCGGAUCGUAAAACCCUGUUGUUAGAGAAGAAAGUGCGUGAAAGUAACUGUUCACGUUUCGACGGUAUCUAACCAGAAAGCCACGGCUAACUACGUGCCAGCAGCCGCGGUAAUACGUAGGUGGCAAGCGUUAUCCGGAUUUAUUGUGCGUAAAGGGAACGCAGGCGGCCUUUUAAGUCUGAUGUGAAAGCUUUCGGCUUAUCCGGAGUAGUGCAUUGGAA
rnacentral:rRNA from 1 species